rnacentral:rRNA from 1 species
UACAUGGGGUGCAAACGUUGCUCGGAAUUAUUGGGCGUAAAGCGCACGUAGGCGGUUCGUUAAGUCUGAUGUGAAAGCCCACGGCUCAACCGUGGAGGGUCAUUGGAAACUGGGGAACUUGAGUGCAGAAGAGGAAAGUGGAAUUCCAAGUGUAGCGGUGAAAUGCGUAGAGAUUUGGAGGAACACCAGUGGCGAAGGCGACUUUCUGGUCUGUAACUGACACUGAGGCGCGAAAGCGUGGGGAGCAAACAGG